UGCAAAACUACUGAUCAGGUGCUUGGUGAUAGGACUGCAACCACAACAAGAAAGUGAGAUUACAGAUAGUGAAAUUCUGAAAUGCUCUCUUAGGCUGAAUCAGCUGUAAGAACACCCUUGUUCUUGGUAACAGAUGAAGAAAGCUUAUGGAAGAGACAGAUUCUGGGCUAAGACUGAAAUACCAGAUGGGAAGAGGAUCAUAAAUUUCUGUUAUAUCUGUAUCUAGAUCUGCAGGAGGACCUAUGAGUAAGUAGAAGCAUGGUUAUGAAUGGGUUCUGGAGCCUGCUUGCUAACAUAGGCUUGUUGCUGUGGACAUUAUAAGGGUUCACUUUUAAUCGCUGUCAGCUAGCAUGAUAUCACAAAUGCCAUAAGAAAAUAAAUAUAUAGUCUUAUGAGGAUGGCUACA
rnacentral:lncRNA from 12 species